rnacentral:rRNA from 1 species
AGCUUGCUCCCUGAUCUUAGCGGCGGACGGGUGAGUAACACGUGGGCAACCUGCCCUGCAGACUGGGAUAACUCCGGGAAACCGGAGCUAAUACCGGGUAAUACAUCGCACCGCAUGGUGCAAUGUUGAAAGUUGGCUUUCGAGCUAACACUGCAGGAUGGGCCCGCGGCGCAUUAGCUAGUUGGUAAGGUAAUGGCUUACCAAGGCGACGAUGCGUAGCCGACCUGAGAGGGUGAUCGGCCACACUGGGACUGAGACACGGCCCAGACUCCUACGGGAGGCAGCAGUAGGGAAUCUUCCGCAAUGGACGAAAGUCUGACGGAGCAACGCCGCGUGAGUGACGAAGGCCUUCGGGUCGUAAAGCUCUGUUGUUAGGGAAGAACAAGUACCGUUCGAAUAGGGCGGUACCUUGACGGUACCUAACCAGAAAGCCACGGCUAACUACGUGCCAGCAGCCGCGGUAAUACGUAGGUGGCAAGCGUUGUCCGGAAUUAUUGGGCGUAAAGCGCGCGCAGGCGGUCUUUUAAGUCUGAUGUGAAAGCCCACGGCUCAACCGUGGAGGGUCAUUGGAAACUGGAGGACUUGAGUGCAGAAGAGGAGAGUGGAAUUCCACGUGUAGCGGUGAAAUGCGUAGAUAUGUGGAGGAACACCAGUGGCGAAGGCGGCUCUCUGGUCUGUAACUGACGCUGAGGCGCGA